rfam:Clostridiales bacterium 1_7_47_FAA supercont2.3 genomic scaffold, whole genome shotgun sequence.
UAGCUCCGCACAAUUUAACAGUAUGAAACAUUGUACGGAGC